rnacentral:lncRNA from 1 species
UCCCUCUCCUUUCUUUACACAGCUCCUAACUGACGGGCUGAACUGUUACAUUGGCCCAACCCAGCUCCAAGCUAACAUUUGCAUUUUAAAAAAGGACUACUGCUAAACUGCAUACAUUUUCACUUUAUUUAGUAAAUAGUGAGCGUAUCUAGUGUGAGAAACACUGAUGCAAUUUCCUGGGAGAAAAAGGGUAGGGGACCCAACAAUGAACAGCCCCCAGUUUUCUGCCCUUAGUGGUGUUUGCUGUCUCUUGGGGAAGACAGACAGACAAGCACACCAACCGCACAAAGAAGGAAGAGGCCUAGAAGGAGGAAGUGUUUUCUGUGGGCUGAGAAUGGAAAUGCUUGUCCGAGGUUCUCCGUGGGAACUUGGAAAUGUGUUGCUGCUUUUAAAUCCAAACCCAGAAACUUCUGCCCCCUGGUACAUAGUUGUAUAUUCUUCGUUGUGAGUCCUUCUAGUUGUGGCAUACGGGACGCUGCCUCAGCGUGGUUUGAUGAGCAGCGCCGUGUCCUCACCCAGGAUUCGAACCAACGAAACACUGGGCCGCCUGCAGCAGAGCGUGCAAACUUAACCACUCGGCCACGGGGCCAGCCCCUAGAUUUAGAAAUUUUUUCUGCACUCAGUGGAAAAUCACUCCCUUGUAUCAGAAAUAUCAAGAAGUUUAAUGAAGGCAAAGAUACAUCCCCUCUAGAGAGCCCAGAAAAGCUGAAUGGCUGGCUGCUCUGCACUCACCUCAACUGGGGACGCCUCAUGCCACCUCUGUAUAUCAGGUCUGCUCACCUGGGCUUUGCUGCCACCUAGGAUCUUCUGCAGUAAUUAUCUUGACCAAAAGCCACAAUGAGCUCCACAUUAGACCUGCAGGAUCUGACAGGUGGAAUGAACCCCUCCCAGCUCAUCUAGAUCUCUGCUCUAACUUUGAAGUGAGUGAACAAGUGGACGCGGAACCGUAUACUCUGGAGAAGGGUAUAAGGAGGAGAAAAAAAGGAUGAGCCCCAGCGAAGGCCUUCAAUUGAAAGGCAGGAGAAGGAUUCACCAUGGGGAACAAGAGGAGUAGUCAGAAGGCAAACCAUCAGAAACAGAAUCAUGCAGGGGAGGAGAAAUCUAAGACGGUAGGCGUGUCAAAAGUGCCAAAUAUUAUGGAGAGGUUAUAAAGAACAAGAAUGAAGAAAAAGUCAUUGGGCAAUUAAAAAAAAUAAGACAAAAUGUCUAUUACUAACCUAGACCAGCAGCAUAUUUUGGUUGGGCAAGAGUUGGGGAUCCACUGCAGCUUGGAAGAGUAGAUAACACCAAUCCCCAGCCUCGCACCAUUGGCAUGCUCCCUGAGCCCACUCCUCACAGCAUCCACUCACAUUAGUGCCUUGAAUUCUGCAGCAAACAAAGGUGAGAAGUGCCCCCUCAUAUCUAUUUGCAUAUACCAAUUUGCAUUUAAAACAAGAACUUUACCAGGUGUUAAAAGGGACUGGAAUUCUGAUCCUCAUUUAGAUUCAAGGAUGUUAGCAGCUAUCAAGCAUCCUCCUGGAACACAGUAGACCCUAAAAUGCUCAGUGAAUGCAACUCACAUAAAUAACCAAAUGCUUGACUUCAGAGAAGCAUUUAGAAUAAAUUGAUAGGAAAUCCACAGCAAAAACUAGAUAGCAAUGUGAGAACCCUCAAAAUGUCACUUCUCAUCUCUUCCUUGCAACUACUAUUGACCCUACAUGUCUCAGAUCACCAGACUAGGUCAGGAUCGGGGGGUUAGAAAAGUGAAGAGCUCACACCGCAUCAGCUCUGGCUUUAAAUGCCAAGAAUAGUGAUAGGGAUGUCACUAUCAAAGCCUCUUGAGACACUGACGCCACAGACAUUUGCACACCUGGCCUGGCCUCUGCCAGGCAAGAGCAAAUUUGCCUCUGCUCUUGACACCUACAUCUCAGACACUUUUAGUAGGCACUAGACACACAUCAGAGAACAAGGCCAGUCCUUGCUCUCCAGGAGUUUAUAGUCUAAAGCAGAAGGUUCAUAGAUGAACUUCAGGGUGUUCUGGGAAAUUCCUUAAGUUAUGUGCAAAAGAGUGCGUCUAUGUAGAUUGAGAGGGAGGUGGGAAGAGUCAAAUUCUCAAAUGACUUUGUGACUCAAAAAAGGUUAAGAAUCACUGACUUGGGACCAUCCAUUUCCCUCAUUUCUAAGUUGUCGCCAAGUGCCCCAAGCACUUAGAGCACCUCUGCAGAACCUUUGCUGUGUUGGUGACUUGCCUUCCUCUCCAGCUCAUGGCAGACUCCUGGUGGCAGGGGAGGGAAGCACACCUCAUGGUUGCCAUUGUCCCUACUUCCAGGGUCUCUGUCCAGGAAGGAUGAUUCAAUCCAGGGAUUGGCUACCCCUGCUCUUUUGGAUGACUUUGAGCUCAUCUGGUUGGCAGAUCACUGCCUACCCCCUGACAGGCAGAAUGACUAGAGAGGAAUGUUUAUCUUUCCAAAGUACUAUCUGCUUCCCAAGACUUCUCCAGACUAAACAUCCACUGACUAAGAUGGAAAAACACUUUUCUUUUACAAAAAGUCAAAGAGAGCUCAGCAAGUAGUUCAGACUAGGAGGAAGAGGGCAAAGGGAGUGAAUGCGCUGAGCUGAGCAUUUCUGGUCUAGCAGUCCUAUUUCUCAUGCAAAUUCAUAAUGUCAUUCUGAAAUGUCCAUCAUUCAAGUACAUUUUUGUUAGUGUGACUCCCUCUCAAAAUGUGACCACCCAACCCCAGAGACAACUUGCCCCUUCAAAGGGGAUGAACAGAUCCUCCUGGCCUCCCCUUGUAUGACUCCAUCAUUCUCCUCCUAGAUGCUUCACUAUUCUGCUGAUUUCUGUAAGACAUAAAAUACAUUUAGAG